UCUAAGCAAAAGACUCACAUAGGCAUACAGU
rnacentral:piRNA from 1 species